CCCUUAGAUGUUCUGGGCCGCACGCGCGCUACACUGACGAAGUCAGCGAGCAUGUCCUACGCCGACAGGUGCGGGGAAUCUUGUCAAACUUCGUCGUGAUGGGGAUUGAUUAUUGAAAUUCUUGAUCAUCAACGAGGAAUGCCUAGUAGGCGCAAGUCAUCAGCUUGCGUCGAUUACGUCCCUGCCCUUUGUACACACCGCCCGUCGCUCCUACCGAUUGGGUGUGCUGGUGAAAUGUUCGGAUCGGCCGUUUGUCGCGGUUUCCGCGUCAUGUGGCUGAGAAGUUCAUUAAACCCUCCCACCUAGAGGAAGGAGAAGUCGUAACA
rnacentral:rRNA from 1 species